AAAAGAGAAAAGAAGAGGAGGAGAAACGAGAAAAAGACAGAGAUGCACUGUUGAAGUUUCUAAAUCCCACCCCUGGGCCAUCUACCACAUCUACCGCUGCUGCCUCCACUUCAGCAGCACAACCCACCAGUGAUGCAGCAUCAGCAGCACAACCCAGCCAUGAUGCAGCAGCAUCAAGCGGUCUUCCUGUUGCCUCCACCUCUGCAGCACAACCCAGCAGUGAUGCAGCAGCAUCAAGCGGUCCUCCUGCUGCACCAAUAGACCCUGCUGACUGGCCUUCUGCUUUAACUGAAAAGCUAGAUGUGGCUGUCGACUUGCUGAAGAAAACCAAAGAUUCCCUCACCAGCUACAGAAACACUGGAUUUUCUGAUGCACAGACAACGGCAAAGGAGAUGUGUGAAGAAAUGAAUGUGGAGGCUGAACUCAAACAAAAGCGAUUGAGAA